rnacentral:lncRNA from 1 species
AAAGAAGCUACUAGUAACGAGUGAACCGCCAAAUUGUGCCCUAAAAUCAUGAGUGUCGUAUAAUUUAGGACUUCAAUUUAUGAAAUAGUAAAUUUCCAUUUCAAAUUGAAUCAUGUCAGUCAAAAUAUUAGCUUUGUCACAUACCUCACCUCGGUUAGAUGUGCUGACGUGUUAUCAAAAUAUUAGCUUUGUCAUGUACUUCGGUUAGAUGUGCUGACGUGUCAUGUUAAAUGAUAUUGAAUUGACAUGUUAUAUGUAAAAAAACGUCAAUAUCAAUGUUUCAUGUUAACGGAACAAUUUAAUAUCAUCAAACAUGACACACGUCAGCACCAUUUUUUUCAUUUUGGUCUCAUCUCCAAUAGCUCUCCCGUCUCCCAAGUUUAAUCUUCUUUUUUUUUUUUUUUGAAGGAUCCUAAGUUUAAUCUUCUAAUUUGUUGUAUUUAAUAAUGAGAUGGUCUUCUUAUUUUUUGUCAUUCAUUUUCACUAAGAUUUUGAAUGUUUUUCCCGACUCUAUUUUAUUUGUGGUUACUGUGAUAAAUUUAGAUUCAAAUCUCCAGAUUCUCUACAUUGACAUAAACAAUAAUCUGGGUAAACUAUUUUAAAGCAUGUGUUUGAAGUUUAGUGUUUCAAUAAUAAUUUAUGGUGUUUGUUGCCAUUUGAUUUUUCUCAUCAUGCAUAUGGCGUUUGAUCCAGUCGACACUUAUGAUUAAUGUCAUAUUAUUUAUUUAAAAUUAAAUUAAACUGUCAUAUUAUUUAUUUAAAAUUAAAUUAAACAAUUUCGUUGCCUAAGCCCUAAUGUCAUGCUUUGGCCGCUUGACUCUUGGACAAGUUCCGGAGUGAAGAGCCAUGUUUAUAAUGCUUUUGGUUCACUAGUUGAAGGGUUGCACCAUAUGGUUUGAUGAGUAGAGAUUUAUAGAAAGUAAAUAUUUGGGUUUUGUGAUUUAUUGAUUAAUUUGGAGAUUUUUAAGAUUUAGCAAUUUUAUUUUGAGAAAGAAGAUAAACUGGGACGCAUGAUAUGGUUGUUCAGUCACAUUAUCAUUUUAACGUGAUACAUCAAUAUCCUUAAUAUAACUAUUUGACAGAGGUAACAUGUCGACUGAUAUCUCUUAAAAAAAAAAACAUGUUGACUGAUGUUUGACUUAUGUCUGGCAUAGGAAUAUACCGACGAAGGUUUCUCUGUUUGUUUGGCGUUUACUCCGUAAUAGGAUUCCGACACGCGACAACUUGGUGAGACGUAAUAUCAUUCAGCAAAGGUAUUCAUUGUGCCCAGACGGUUGUGACAUCAUGUAAUCAGCUAGACAUCUCUUUCUUGAAUGCAGCCCAGCAAACUAUUUAUGGUCACAGGUUCGUAAUUGGUUAUGCAUAUCUAUGGUGUUACCUAAUGACCUCCGUGAUCAUCUUCUUCAGUUCUCUUAUUUGGCUGGCCUAUCCCGUUGUACUCAAUCUUUUCUGAAAGGUAUUUGGUUUGCUUGUGUUUGGAUUAUAUGAAAGGAUCGAAAUGAUCGCCUAUUUAAUAAUGCGGAUUCAAAUCCUUAUGCUCUUUUUGAGAAAGUUAAGUUACAUUCGUUUUUGUGGGUAAAGGCAAAACACCCUCAUUUCUGUUAUUGUUAUUAUGAUUGGUGGACACAUCCGUUGCUAUGUAUGGGUGUUCAUCAUUAAUUAUGAUGACUCUGUAAACUUAGAUCGGUGAUUCACUUUUAGCACGCGUUGUGCAGGGUGCACCACCGUUGUUAUUA